GGCCUCCUGGUGCUUACCACAGCUGUGUUCUUUUGCUGACCACAUAGAAAGAGGAGACAGAGCACAUCUACCCUAUAUACACCUUAGCUCAGGCCUUGUGCCUGGUCUGUAUUGUAAAUGGGGGACAUGG
rnacentral:snoRNA from 1 species